CAGAUUUUUUUUCGUCCAGUUACAGGUGGGCGUUUGUUCCAGAAGUGGACACAGAGGGCCCUGCCUUCCUGUCAGAUCUAGAGGAGAAUCACCAAGAAUGCAAACCCCACACCGUUAGGAUUCUCGAACUUCUAAAAUUAAAAUAUGGGGAAAUUGGCAGCUCUGAUGAGAUCACCAUGAAGAAUGAAUUCCCCCUUCUGCGCCAACAUUCUGUUUCCAGCAUCAGGCAACUGAAGCCAUUCUUCCAGACUCUAAAUUGUGCUUUUAAAACCCAGAGUAAACUGACUGCCGAUACCCGAGGACCUCCAGUCUUGGAGUUUCCUGUCACAGAUAGCCCAAGGGUCUUGAAACAACUAGAAGAAUGUGUUGAAUAUGAUUUUUUGGAACAUCUGGAAUCUUAACCACAUAAGACAGAAUUUCAGAAUAUAUCCUGAAAGCCAGGAUAUAUUCUAAACAAGAAAGGAGCCAGGAUAGUGCUUUUAAAUAAGUCUUUUUCCAUUUUUCAAGGUCGAUUUCAGAUAAUUUUCUGUUGGGCAACAAAACACACCUCCCUAAAUGCCUUGUAAUAUAUUUGGAUCUGAUUGUAUGUUUCUUCCUCAAUUUAUGUAAAGAAAAUAAAAUUAAUAUAUCAUCUAAUGCUAGCACAAAAUGUGUAA